GUUCAUGACAGAAGCUAUGCUCAAAAGAUUUGGUUGGUGGGAGAUGGGUUGAGUAAAAAAGAACAGUUGAGUGCACCAAAAGGAACAAGUUUUGUUCCCUUCUCUCAAUUUCCACCAAAACAGUUGCGCAGAGACUGCCUCUACCACUACACACCAGCAAUGAAGAUCCCCAAGUCUCAUGAGAAUGUUUACUCUUGUGAGAACUGGUUGCCAAGGAGGGUGAUGAGUGCGUCGCGUAUAGCAGGAAUAGUGCAUGCAUUGGAAGGUUGGAAUGAGCACGAGUGUGGUCACACCAUGUCCAGCAUUGACAAAGUUUGGCAAGCAACUCUUCGACAUGGCUUUCAGCCUCUAGUCUCCAAAGAGGCAAAGAUUGAUUAGUCACCUCUUCAAGAAAGCAUUACCCAAUUAUGAUUUAUGUUCUGACUACGCCUUGUUUUUAUUUUGAUAUUAUUUGAGUUUAUGUUCAGCUGUACUGUGCUUGGUAGUACAUGAUUUGCAGUGGAUAUGUUAGUGAUUUCCAGUUAUUUGAUGAAUAUAUGGUACCAUUUUCUAAAUGAAUGGUAUUGGUAUAUAUU